rnacentral:tRNA from 1 species
CCGCCGGGGACGUUGAAGCCGUCGGUGAUCGAGUCGCCGAGGGGCAUCACCCGUACCCCGCCGUUGGAUUCGGCGCUGGCGGG